rnacentral:rRNA from 3 species
UUGACCUCGGAUCAGGUAGGAAUACCCGCUGAACUUAAGCAUAUCAAUAAGCGGAGGAAAAGAAACCAACAGGGAUUGCCCUAGUAACGGCGAGUGAAGCGGCAACAGCUCAAAUUUGAAAUCUGGCUCUCGGGCCCGAGUUGUAAUUUGUAGAGGAUGCUUUUGGCAAGGUGCCUUCCGAGUUCCCUGGAACGGGACGCCAUAGAGGGUGAGAGCCCCGUCUGGUUGGACACCGAGCCUCUGUAAAGCUCCUUCGACGAGUCGAGUAGUUUGGGAAUGCUGCUCUAAAUGGGAGGUAUAUGUCUUCUAAAGCUAAAUACUGGCCAGAGACCGAUAGCGCACAAGUAGAGUGAUCGAAAGAUGAAAAGCACUUUGAAAAGAGAGUUAAAAAGCACGUGAAAUUGUUGAAAGGGAAGCGCUUAUGACCAGACUUGGGCUUGGUUGAUCAUCCGGCGUUCUCGCCGGUGCACUCUUCCAGUUCAGGCCAGCAUCAGUUUGCCUCGGGGGAUAAAAGUAGCGGGAAUGUGGCUCCUCCGGGAGUGUUAUAGCCCGCUGCAUAAUACCCUGUGGCAGACUGAGGACCGCGCUUCGUGCAAGGAUGCUGGCGUAAUGGUCAUCAGCGACCCG